rnacentral:rRNA from 1 species
UACGUAGGGUGCAAGCGUUGUCCGGAAUUAUUGGGCGUAAAGGGCUCGUAGGCGGUCCAUCACGUCGGGAGUGAAAAGCUGGGGCUUAACCCCAGUCCUGCUUCCGAUACGGGUGGACUAGAGGUAGGUAGGGGAGAACGGAAUUCCUGGUGUAGCGGUGAAAUGCGCAGAUAUCAGGAGGAACACCGGUGGCGAAGGCGGGACUCUGGGCCGAUACUGACGCUGAGGAGCGAAAGCGUGGGGAGCAAACAGG